CCCACGGGGCAGGCCUGGUGCCGAGGGGGCUUCUCCGCUUCCUCGAGGCGCUCCUGCCCCGGCAGAUUGGACGGGAGACGGGGAUGUGACACCGCUGGUCACUCACGGCAUUUCUCCAGGGAGCAAGCAUCCGUAUCCAUUACACUGAGAGCACAGAAUCCUGGACCAGGGGAAACCCUACCCUUGGGACGAAGUAAAAAUCCUGCUGGAUAGCAAAGCGUGGUUUGCAGUCCAGUCCAGACAGGAGGAAGAUGAGGCACAGAGAGGUGAAGGAACUUACCUAAGGUCACACAGCUGGAUUGCAGGUGAUAUUUUUCUUCUUUGCAACUUUCUGUGUUUCCUGCAUCUUUUGUCAUGAGGAGGUGUCAUUUUUGCACCUGGAAAACCAGAAACAACAGAAGCUGCCGUGGCCAGGCAAGCGGAGCUCUCUCCCACCCAGUCUCCCGGCUGUCCGCUCCACUGGGAUGUCCAUUUACUGGGAGAGGGGAUCCAGUGGCCUCAGGCCCUGGACCCCUGGAUCUCAAAACUUGGGAAUUGGGAAUUCGAUCUCUGGCCUUUUGCCUUGGGCAUUCCCAAGGGAUGCCCAGGGCUGGGCUGUGACCAGGACACUCCUGAUGCUUCCUGAAAGCUGAUCCCCGCGCCCUCCACCUCACCCCAGACAGUCACCAUGGUGCCAAUCCCCCCAAACCUCAGACACCCCCGGUUGCUUCCUUCCCACCCCAGCACGGCCCCACCACUCCCGGCCAAUUGGCAUAUGGAAUGUGGAGACAAUAGAAGCUGAGUGUAACCACUGUUUACAGAAAAAAAUGGUACAAGAUUUAUUUAUUGGAAGGUGACUGAGGAAUAUGAAUUCUACACUCCAUUUAAAAUGCUUUUUAUUUCUCUCAGCCUUGGGGCUCAGAGUACAUCUAAUUUCACCCACAGCUAUAAUUCUCUACCAAACAGUUCCUGCUGCUCCUCUGGGGUCCCCAGGAACCGAGUUAGUUUAUGUCUGCCACUGAUGAGGUGCAGGCAGGGGCAGCCGCGGCUACGUGCCAGCACACACUGCGCCCU